rnacentral:rRNA from 1 species
UACAGAGGGGGCAAGCGUUGUUCGGAAUUACUGGGCGUAAAGGGCGCGUAGGCGGCCUGCUAAGUCGAACGUGAAAUCCCUGGGCUCAACCCAGGAACUGCGUCCGAUACUGGUUGGCUUGAAUCCGGGAGAGGGAUGUGGAAUUCCAGGUGUAGCGGUGAAAUGCGUAGAUAUCUGGAGGAACACCGGUGGCGAAGGCGACUCUUUGGCCUGUAACUGACGCUGAGGCGCGAAAGCGUGGGGAGCAAACAGG